rnacentral:rRNA from 1 species
UACGAAGGGGGCUAGCGUUGCUCGGAAUUACUGGGCGUAACGCGCACGUAGGCGGCUCUUUAAGUCGGGGGUGAAAUCCUGGAGCUCAACUCCAGAACUGCCUUCGAUACUGGAGAGCUUGAGUUCGGGAGAGGUGAGUGGAACUGCGAGUGUAGAGGUGAAAUUCGUAGAUAUUCGCAAGAACACCAGUGGCGAAGGCGGCUCACUGGCCCGAUGCUGACGCUGAGGUGCGAAAGCGUGGGGAGCAAACAGG